AAGUCGUAACAAGGUUUCCGUAUGGUUGAACCUGCGGAAGGAUCAUUACUAAAUAAAGCUUGGUAGGAAGUGGGGUCUUGAUCUGUAAGUGGUAGAGCGAACAGGUCCGGCUGCCUCCCGAAAUUGUCUUACAGGUACCCCCACAGCCUGAAGGCCGAAUUACAACCCUUGAUUAUCUACACUUGUUGCAUUUGGGGUGCUCAAGUGCCCCAGAGGCAGCCCAACUCUCUUGCAUUUAUGUAGACGUCUGAGUACUAUAUAAUAUUUAAAA
rnacentral:misc_RNA from 1 species